rnacentral:rRNA from 1 species
CAAGGUUUCCGUAGGUGAACCUGCGGAAGGAUCAUUACAGUAUUCUUUUGCCAGCGCUUAAUUGCGCGGGGAAAAACCUUACACACAAUGUUUUUCUUUUUACUUGAAAAAUUUACUUUGGUUUGGGUUAGAAAUAAGUCGGGGCAAAGGUUUAUUAAACUUCAAUUUUAUUAUUGAACUGUUAUUUAACUAAUUGUCAAUUUGUUGAUUAAAUUCAAAAAUCUUCAAAACUUUCAACAACGGAUCUCUUGGUUCUCGCAUCGAUGAAGAACGCAGCGAAUUGCGAUAAGUAAUAUGAAUUGCAGAUUUUCGUGAAUCAUCGAAUCUUUGAACGCACAUUGCGCCCUUUGGUAUUCCAAAGGGGAUGCCUGUUUGAGCGUCAUUUCUCUCUCAAAUCUUCGGAUUUGGUUUUGAGUGAUACUCUUGGUAAAACUAAGCGUUUGCUUGAAAAGUAUUGGGAUGAGUAGUACUAGAUAGUGCUAAACUGUUUCAAUGUAUUAGGUUUAUCCAACUCGUUGAUCUGUUUUAGUAUUUUUUUAGUACAUAGGGUCGGGCUUACAACAACAAACAAAGUUUGACCUCAAAUCAGGUAGGAUUACCCGCUGAACUUAAGCAUAUCAA